rnacentral:rRNA from 1 species
AAUUGUUCGCAAUGGGCGCAAGCCUGACGACGCAACGCCGCGUGGAGGAUGAAGAUCUUCGGGUCGUAAACUCCUUUCGAUCGAGACGAAUUCCUCCGGGACUAACAUGCCUGGAGGUUGACGGUACCGAGAGAAGAAGCCCCGGCUAACUCCGUGCCAGCAGCCGCGGUAAUACGGGGGGGGCAAGCGUUGUUCGGAAUUACUGGGCGUAAAGGGCGCGUAGGCGGCCCGCUAAGUCGAACGUGAAAUCCCCAGGCUCAACCUGGGAACUGCGUCCGAUACUGGCAGGCUUGAAUCCGGGAGAGGGAUGUGGAAUUCCAGGUGUAGCGGUGAAAUGCGUAGAUAUCUGGAGGAACACCGGUGGCGAAGGCGGCAUCCUGGACCGGUAUUGACGCUGAGGCGCGAAAGCUAGGGGAGCAAAC